CUGUGGUGAGCUGAGCAGAGACAGAGUGGCAGCAGCCAGGCUCACUCAAGACAAGCACAUGCAGGCCUGGGCAUGAGUCCCUUGAAGAAAGGGGAAAAGUGAGGCAGAGAGCUUGCGAAGACCAUGGAAGGAAUACAAGGAGAGUGAUCUGUUUGUGCAGGGUGCCAGGAGUAUGUGCUAUUGCUCAUCACGGGCAAGGGCUUAAGGAGACAGCAUUGGAAACUCUUUCCUAAGACCAGACUUCUGUUUUCUGUUUUGCACAAGUGGGACAUUCAUGUUGUCUUUCAUCUUUCAUCAAUGUAAGAGGAAAACCCAGAACUUAAACAUAAAAAACCAAAGUGUUUUCUCCCUUUCCACACUUGGAAAUAUCAAAACAAACCUGAGAAUGAGACUGUUCUGUUCCUAACUUUGUCAUGUGAUUAAUAGUAGGGAGAGAACUGAGUGUAUUUUAUGGGUUACUGAUGAUGACUUUUCCUAUUGAAAUACGUGUGCUGCAUUCAGUAUUUUUGAAGCACCAGCACAGACCUCAAUGCAGAACAAAACAGAAGGAAAGACAGGAUCUUGCCUUUGAAGGUCACAGUAUUGAAACCUGUGUAUCUAGGUUGUGCCAGUUUCCAGGAUUCCCCUCCACCCCUAUCCCCGCCCCUCGCCCCGGUUCCUCGCACAGACGUGAGCAGCUGCAGCCAUGGAAGACUUCUUUGUAGAGGAGGCAGCUCCAGUGAAACAGGUAGGCGGGCUGGGGUGGGCACUCAGUGCCCUGAGUGUGCUGUGGUGGCUGGCAGCAUUUAAACCCAACAGACCCAAGCUCCAGCCAGCUCACAAGCCCCUGCUACCUACGAGGCAGCAAGGAUGAUAGGAUAUUGCAGAGACACAUCAGGUGUGGUCCAGAGCAGCCUGUAAUUCUGGAUGAAGAUGUGCUGGUGUCCAUUGGGAGAAGGUUAAAAAGUUCCUUGUGCAACUAGAAAUCUCUGUGUUUUGCUCAUGGGGUGGGUGUUGCUGUUAGCAGACCUCUGUGUCCCAGGGAGGAGAGGAUUCAGCAGGAAUGAUGCUGAGAAGUUCUGAAGUCUUGAGGGAGCAGGGAAGGAGAGGAGAAGUCUGGAGGUUUCCUGUGCAGGCCUGGGUGUGAUGAGUGUUUCACUGGUCUGUCCUCAGAUAGAAUAUUGGCACCAUUACUGCUUCUCUGACUUUUCCAUUUCAGGGGGUGUUGGAGCAGAUAACAGGACAAUGUUGCAGCACAGGUUACAUCAGGACUGGAUUUGUCCUGUCUGCCUUAUAUUGACAUAAAAUGUUUUCUUCCCAUGUGAUUCCUUUAAUUUUGUCAUCAUUUCUAUUAAUUUGGUUGGUUGGUUGUUUUUUUCUGAGUUGGUUACUCUUUAACUUAUUCACACCUCUGGUUGCUUCAGCCCUGCCCUAGACAGAUGUAUCUCUGUGCAAGCAGUACCCUUGGGCAAAAUUAUUUACAGCAAUCCCUGCGUGGGGCAGAAAUGUGACACUGGUUAUUGCCAUGGAGUUUGACCAAAAGGAUGCAGGGCAGCAGGUGACAUGUUAUUGUUGCAGGUUCUUUAGACCAAACCUGAUUUGGGGAGUGCUUUCUUCAUUAGGAAAAGUGACAGCUGCACAAGUUGCCUGUUACACUUCUCUCAUUCCACCAGACUGAUGCUGCAGUGUUUGAAGAGUUGUGCAUUAAGAGGGAUUUUCUGUGAU
ensembl:lncRNA